rnacentral:lncRNA from 1 species
GUGGUAUAAUAAAAUAAGCAAUGGCUUAGGAGUCACCAAAUUCGUAUCUAAUUGCUUACUAGCUGUGUAACCUUGGGCAAGUUACUUAAUACCUCUGAGUCUCAGUUUCCUUAUAUGUAACAUAUAAAUAAUAAUAACUGUGCCUAGACUUUUGAAUAAAGGAAGUGAAUGAAAUAAUGGAAAGGAGAUGAGAGGCAGUCAAUUUGCAAGAGCAAAUCUUUGAUUGAAGCAGGAAGAUUUUGCUAUGGUGCUCAUAGAGGAGAACGAGAACACUGGAGGCCAAAGGAAAGUGUCUAUUCCUAACUUCUUCCGACCUUCCCAGCCCCAUGGACGACAUAUGAACACUAUAUGGAGAGCAUCUGUGGCAUAGACAGCUAAUAUGUUUCAUUAAGAAUCCCUAGGACUGCCACCAGCUUAAAUAGUCACCUUGUGAAAAUUAGAAAAGGUCCCCCUUGGGGUGGAGACAGCCCUGUGGACACAUGGUUUGACAAGCAGAGAAAGUUUUAUGUAAAGAAGGUGGAGUGGGGCUCACGGCUUAGUGAGCAGAGCAUGAGUUGGGUAUCAGUUCCCCUAGCCUCUCAGCAGUGUACUUUUGAUCAAACCACAAAUCACAUAUUUGCAUGUGAUGCCCUGAACUCCAGAGUUUUAACUUGGCAUUUGUCCAAUUGGAGACAAAUUUCCAAGCCUCUGUUGUAAUAGGAGUGGUCAUGUGAAUUAGUUCCAGCUAAUGGGAUUAUGCAGAAGUUAUAUUUAUUACUUGGAAUCAUCUCCUUAAGAAAAGCCCUUUGUCUUGGAUAUUCUCCUUUUUCCUCUGUCUGUGAAAUGGCAAAGAUGGGGCAGCCAUCUUGGAUACAGAGAUAGAAGCCAUGUUUUGAGGAUGGCAGAGUUAGUUUAUCAAUCUGGAAGGAACAGAGCCACCAUCAGCCCAGGGACACUCACUUCUAGAAUACAUAUCAAUAGAAAUAAACUUCUAUCAUGCUGAAGCCACCAUGUGUUGGGAUAUUUUUGUUAUAUCAGCCUAGCUUGUAUUCUAACUAAUAUGUGGCUUUUAGACCAGAGUAGAAGGAGCUAUUUUUAUGAGCAAGUCUGAUUUCUGGUGACACAAGUAAUGCUGCUUUGGGUCCCAGGUGUAAAGAUAUGAUGAAGUCUGGAGAGGAGCACAUGGCGGUGCUUUGGCACCAGUGGCAGUGCCAGGAAGGCUGUAGUACAGCAACGAUGGACACUGUGAAGCAUG